CAGGGAGACAACAAAAUGUUUAAUAUUAUUAUUUUGUCACUUAGGUCGAUCGGUAUCUCACAUUCUUAAUUUAUUAAGAAUUUCAUUUCCUAAGUUUUUUCUAGGUCACACCCAUUAUUUUUCCUGGGCCAUUAGCUCAGGUGGUUAGAGCGCACCCCUGAUAAGGGUGAGGUCCCUGGUUCAAGUCCAGGAUGGCCCAUAUCUCUAUGUUGGGGGUAUAGCUCAGUUGGUAGAGCGCCUGCUUUGCAAGCAGGAUGUCAGCGGUUCCGAAGUGCGUCUCCACUGAUUACCACCUCUUUCAUAAUUAUUGAAAAGGAAAUUUAUUGAGUAGUGAUUAAAUUCUGAACGAAUCUAGCUUCCUAAUGAAUUCAUUAAGAUGCUGGACUCAUUGAAUUAAUUUCAUUGUUUUCAGAGAACCUUGACAACUGCAUAGAUUAUUUUUAAAGACAAUAAGCAUCUUUAAUGAUGCAGAUUUAUUAUUUGUGCGAAUGCAUUAAUAACAAUUCUAUUAAGCUGAUGCUUCAA
rnacentral:misc_RNA from 1 species